AUUGAACGCUGGCGGCAUGCUUUACACAUGCAAGUCGAACGGUAACAGGCCGCAAGGUGCUGACGAGUGGCGAACGGGUGAGUAAUGCAUCGGAACGUGCCCAGUCGUGGGGGAUAACGCAGCGAAAGCUGCGCUAAUACCGCAUACGAUCUCUGGAUGAAAGCGGGGGACCGAAAGGCCUCGCGCGAUUGGAGCGGCCGAUGUCAGAUUAGGUAGUUGGUGGGGUAAAGGCCCACCAAGCCAACGAUCUGUAGCUGAUCUGAGAGGACGACCAGCCACACUGGGACUGAGACACGGCCCAGACUCCUACGGGAGGCAGCAGUGGGGAAUUUUGGACAAUGGGCGCAAGCCUGAUCCAGCAAUGCCGCGUGCAGGAAGAAGGCCUUCGGGUUGUAAACUGCUUUUGUACGGAACGAAACGGUCCGGGCUAAUACCCUGGGCUAAUGACGGUACCGUAAGAAUAAGCACCGGCUAACUACGUGCCAGCCGCCGCCGUAAGAC
rnacentral:rRNA from 1 species